rnacentral:rRNA from 1 species
AUUGAACGCUGGCGGCAGGCUUAACACAUGCAAGUCGAGCGGUAACAGAGAGAAGCUUGCUUCUCUGCUGACGAGCGGCGGACGGGUGAGUAAUGCCUAGGAAUCUGCCUAGUAGUGGGGGAUAACUUGCCGAAAGGUAAGCUAAUACCGCAUACGUCCUAUGGGAGGAAGGAGGGGACCUUCGGGCCUUUCGCUAUUAGAUGAGCCUAGGUCGGAUUAGUUAGUUGGUGAGGUAAUGGCUCACCAAGACCGCGAUCCGUAACUGGUCUGAGAGGAUGAUCAGUCACACUGGAACUGAGACACGGUCCAGACUCCUACGGGAGGCAGCAGUGGGGAAUAUUGGACAAUGGGGGGAACCCUGAUCCAGCCAUGCCGCGUGUGUGAAGAAGGUCUUAGGAUUGUAAAGCACUUUAAGUUGGGAGGAAGAGCAGUUAACUAAUAUUUGACUGUUUUGACGUUACCGACAGAAUAAGCACCGGCUAACUUCGUGCCAGCAGCCGCCGUAA